rnacentral:rRNA from 1 species
GACGAACGCUGGCGGCGUGCCUAAUACAUGCAAGUAGAACGCUGAAGGAGGAGCUUGCUCUUCUGGAUGAGUUGCGAACGGGUGAGUAACGCGUAGGUAACCUGCCUGGUAGCGGGGGAUAACUAUUGGAAACGAUAGCUAAUACCGCAUAACAGUAGAUAUCGCAUGAUAGCUGCUUGAAAGGUGCAAUUGCACCACUACCAGAUGGACCUGCGUUGUAUUAGCUAGUUGGUGAGGUAACGGCUCACCAAGGCAACGAUACAUAGCCGACCUGAGAGGGUGAUCGGCCACACUGGGACUGAGACACGGCCCAGACUCCUACGGGAGGCAGCAGUAGGGAAUCUUCGGCAAUGGACGGAAGUCUGACCGAGCAACGCCGCGUGAGUGAAGAAGGUUUUCGGAUCGUAAAGCUCUGUUGUAAGAGAAGAACGAGUGUGAGAGUGGAAAGUUCACACUGUGACGGUAUCUUACCAGAAAGGGACGGCUAACUACGUGCCAGCAGCCGCGGUAAU